UUGAUUCACGUCUCAACGCUUUUCGUGUGAACAAAAACGAUUUUUCCCAGAAUCUCUUCAUCCUUCUUCUGUAUUCGUUCUUCCUCUGUCUUCAUGUUUCUUAUCUGUAAAAAAUCCACAAAAACCUAAAUCUGUAAUCAAAUUACGGGAUAAUGAUCAAAACCUAGAUUUACAAUUAAGAAAUUAUAUAAAAUACUCAAAAACCAUAUUUUUUUGAAGAAUCAUAUCCACAAAACCCUAGUUUACUAAGAAGAAUUAGCAUACCACGAGAUUCUUCUCCCAAAAAUCAUUAAAAGAUUGCGAUUUUGAAGAAAAAGGUACUUCCGAUUCUGAAACAGCAUGAAAGAAGAAGAAAAAGAAAUUUGUUGCAACUCAACCAACAUCAAAGAAACCUGGGAUUUCUGCCAAAAAAAGGUUACAAGGAAUGGAGAAUUCAUAAGUUCCCUGACGAUGGAGAAGACAUUCGGUCUAUGUGUUACCUCAAAGAAUAUUGGAAACUUCAUAAAGUAUAUCUGUCAUGCCUUCAAAGGUACUUGUAUGCCUACAUUAUCAAGAACUAGCAGUGGACGUCAUCGUUGAAGGAAGACCAUACUCUACUUUGUGAACUCCAACUGCUAAAUGAGGCCUAAACAUUCCACAUGGAGACACCAAGAUGAAGUUCUGAUUAGUGAAAAUUCCAUAUUAAUUAAUCCCAAGCUAUAUUACUCAUGCAUCGACGGAUUACUAGUCAUUUUAAUGCUUUUAGCUCUACAUAUCGUGUGAUUGACAUUUUUUAGCUCUACAUAUCUUGUGAUGGAGAGUGAAAAAAUGUCAUCGGUUAUGCCAGUAUUGUGUAUCUCUGAUCGAGUAAGAAAUUUUUUUUGAAUGUUAGCUUUAAAAUCAAUAACAUACAACACGCUUUGUCUUUUGGUCCCAAACUGUUCCUUUGUGUAUAUAUCUGGAACUGCGAAAUUAUUGCUUGCAUUCAUCUGUGAAACACUGUUUAUACUUGAAUAUUCAAU